rnacentral:rRNA from 1 species
CCUACGGGUGGCAGCAGUGAGGAAUAUUGGUCAAUGGUCGGAAGCCUGAACCAGCCAAGUCGCGUGAGGGAAUAAGGCCCUACGGGUCGUAAACCUCUUUUGCCGGGGAGCAAGGGCCGGGACGCGUCCCCGUCCGGGUGUUCCCCGGGGAAAAGGCAUCGGCUAACACCUUGCCAGCAGCCGCGGUAAUACGGAGGAUGCGAGCGUUAUCCGGAUUUAUUGGGUUUAAAGGGUGCGUAGGCGGGCUUUUAAGUCAGCGGUAAAAAUUGGGGGCUCAACCCCGUCCGGCCGUUGAAACUGGGGGCCGGGAGUGGGAGAGAAGAAGGCGGAAUGCGUGGUGUAGCGGUGAAAUGCAUAGAUAUCACGCAGAACCCCGAUUGCGAAGGCAGCAUGCCGGCGCCCGACUGACGCUGAGGCACGAAAGUGUGGGGAUCGAACAGGAUUAGAUACCCGAGUAGUC